ensembl:lncRNA
CUUUUUGGAAGUAAAUAUGACAUUUUAAAUAUCUGUACUUUCAUGCCACAUGUGUUUAACAGUUUCUAUUUUCCACAUUUAAGCAUUUUUGAACACGAUUUUUAGAUUUCAGAUACACUUUAAUCAUUAAAUCAAUAAAAAAUAAUUACAAACACUUUAAUCAUUAAAAAUGCACUCAAACCUCUGUUUAAGCUUGUACUUGUUUGGAUUCACAUGUACAUAUAUACAUACACAAACGCAAAAAUUGGCACGGGUUCAGGUGGCCUAUGCCCCCAAGUCCUCGUGCAGUUUAUUGAGUCCCAUGGUGAGUUGAUACUCUGCUAGUGUUUGGUCAUCAGUCACCACCCACAUUGUGUCCACCGAGUGUCUGUGUCUCAUCUCUAGCUGGACACACACCACCUCCACCCACAGACCAUGUGUGUUUUUGUGAACGUGUGUGUCUUUGUAUGUCCACAUGCUGCAAAAAAAGAGGAUUAAUCUACGAUAUGCUGUUUCUUUGUACCAUCAAAAACAAAGCAUUGCACAAGCAACCAUUUCGUUUGUCAUAUUGUUAAGUGUAAAAUCAGUUGAGACCCAUAAUAAUAAGUCUUGAUUCUCCCUUAAGCCAACAGUGUUUGCAAUUUACCCCAGCAUUUCAAAGCCAAACGAAAGUGGUAGGGCAUAUCUUUGUGUUCUCAAGGAUGAAUAUCCCAAGUCUGGGCCUAUCUGAAAUGUGCAGCGCCCAGCAUGUUUGAAAAAAAUAAAUGCAGGCACAGAACUCAGUUGUAAGUCUCUGUUCCUCCAAAUCAACAUACGUAUCACGUUGCCAUGCGCAUCCAUGUACAAAAAAAAAAAAAACACAUAAAGGGAAAAAAAGUUAAAAAGUAAAGGAGCAAAACUGAGCUGCAGCUCAAACCGCUGAUAAAAGUGCACCGUGUGCUAAUCCACGACCCACAGAAACAGAUACACUACAGGGCAUUGUAUGCUAAUGCAGCCUCAAAAUGCAAAUAAAACUAAACUGAGUGUAUACAUGUACAUGCUCAAUAGGGAUUAUUCACUGUUCGUGGUGAUAACGGGCAUUUGAAUAAUAAUCACUGAAGGUUCAUAUAUCAUGUUGUUUAUAUAUUACUUCCUCUACGCCAGAAGUCCAAUGAGAAUGUGUCCACUAAGGUUUUGUUGGCAUACAUUACCAGUUAGCCACGGUUUCAUUUCGAUAAAGGAAAUUUUUAGGUAUAUGUGAUUCCAUGAAAUGAAAUAAAUGACAUGAAUAUGGUAUUAGUACAGGGCACACUGUAGGUUGCUGUAUCUGAUCCCUGAGCCUGUGUUUCCCAUCAGGCCUACAGGAGAGAAAUAUACAAGAUGUGAUUGAAAACACCUGUCAGUCAAGCCAUUCCCCAGCACCCUGGAGUUCUGCGUGAGAAAUGCCGAUUGCAUGACUGAAAUGAGCACAAGGAUUUUAUCCGGCCAAUUGGGAAAAAACUGAGACUAAUUCAUCUGA